UACGGGGGGGGCAAGCGUUGUUCGGAAUUACUGGGCGUAAAGGGCUCGUAGGCGGCCAACUAAGUCAGACGUGAAAUCCCUCGGCUUAACCGGGGAACUGCGUCUGAUACUGGAUGGCUGGAGUUUGGGAGAGGGAUGCGGAAUUCCAGGUGUAGCGGUGAAAUGCGUAGAUAUCUGGAGGAACACCGGUGGCGAAGGCGGCAUCCUGGACCAACACUGACGCUGAUGAGCGAAAGCCAGGGGAGCAAGCGGG
rnacentral:rRNA from 1 species